AACGCACAUGGCGCCUUCCAGUAUCCUGGGAGGCAUGCCUGUCCGAGCGUCGUUUCAACCCUCGAGCCCCUGUGGCCCGGCGUUGGGGAUCUGCCACGGCAGUCCCCUAAAACCAGUGGCGGACCCGAAGGGCCCUCUCCUUUGCGCAGUAGCAUUCGCCUCGCAUCGGGAGUCCUCGGCGUCCUGCCUCUAAACCCCCCACAAGCCCGCUUCGGCGGCACCAAGGUUGACCUCGGAUCAGGUAGGAAUACCCGCUGAACUUAA
rnacentral:misc_RNA from 1 species